UACAGCAUUAGCGACUUUAUUUAGAUAUUUGUUGUUGUUGUUGCAUAGGAAAUGCAUAUCUUGAUUCCAGUAAUUGAUUCUGCGUGGACAUGAUGGUUUCACUAAUGGAAAUGAGAAAGAUGAUUUUACACCAGUAAUAAAAAAACAACAGUAAAAAGGAAAACAGAAAAAAAACAACGGUCACACAAGGUGUUCGGACAACCGACAGUUAACAACAACUCUACAUCAUAACAGAACAUACAAUGGCAGUCAAUAAACAAUGGCGCUAGUAACAUCCAACAAACAAUAGGUGCUCAAUGGUUCACUGUUCUGUUCCAGAAAAGUAUAGUAGAGGCACAAGGUAUUAGUCAGUUUCACUUAUCUGUUGAAUCCUAAAACGUUUGAUUGUGAUUUAUGAGGACCGAAUGGAAUGGUGGUUUGUGAGGACUCGCGGAGGCAGUGACGGGGAUGCUGGGAUAUGAAGUCUUGGUGACGUGGAUGCUGGGAUAUGAAGCCUUUGUGAUAAGGAUGUGGGACUCAGACUGCACCAGGAGUUCAUUGAUCUCCUCCCUCUGUCACUCAGGUUCACUCAAGCUGACCUUCGUUAGUAUUUGCUAGUUUGACCAUGGUGGAGAUUUGAGACUCAAGGCUGGGGGAAGUUGCGGUAUUCACUAACGCACCAUAUGAACAGGUGUCUACAAUAGUUCCACUCCUGGUUUGAUGUAAAAAGGUUCAAGACUAGUCUACUAAAGUCCACUUGUAAUAUGAAGGAAAGUGACGUCAGAUUGAAAUAGCCUACUGCUUAAAUGUUGGUUUCAAAGAGGGCUGCUUCCCACGUUGACCAGCUGACCAGUUUGGAACAUAGGGAGUUAGGAUGUUGGGAAGUCUAUCCCUGGGUGAGCCAAUUGAGCUAACAGGAUUGGGGAUUAGCAUUGUUUAACCGAGAGUCUCUUAGGUGUGCUUAGCUGUCUUUCUGGAACUUUCCCAUCCACCUUCGCACUGAUUUGCCUCUCUUUUGAAGUGCUUCCAUAAGAGCAGGCCUCUCAGAAAGCCCACCUUCGGGCCUCUCGGCGGCUCAAUGAGGGAUUCUGUCCUCAAUAGUGCUGAACGGAGCAGAAAUGACUGCAGCCAUUGAUUCCGCCCCCUUAACAAAGAGCGUGUGAGGGAGAUUCACGCUGGAGCUGCAGUGCUUCUCAUGGUUCUCAUCAAUGGUACUCCUGUACUUGAUAAGAGUAGGGAGUUCUGGAGUUCUGCGUCCCCCCCAGUAGAGAGAGAGAGAGCUUAGUCCUGAUGGUCAGUCGGUGCAGAUUGCCUAAGGAGUGUAGGGGGGGGGGGAUCUUAGCUAGCUGGCUCCACUGAACACCUAGCCUAGUCAUCAUGGUACCAUCACCGGCUAAAGUCAAUGAGGUUGAUUGGAAGGAGUGCAACAAAAUCACUGACAUGAACAUGAAGAUACUUCUCAUGGCAACCAGAUACCCUCCAAAAAACUUGAUAACUCAAAAGUCGGGUGAGGAUGGAGUCAGGAUGGUAGAAAUAAAGAAAACAUUUGAGGUUUAGGGAGAUAAGAGAAGGAGUAUAAGUGAUGGGAAGGAUAAAAUAAAAAAACAAACAUAAAAUUCAUUUUUCUAGAUACAUUCUAAACAGCUUACUAGGCGAUUAUGGAAGAGCAUGCGAUUCCAUCUCUAAGGUUAUUGUACAUGAGCUAUAAUCAGAGGGGUCUGACAGACAGCAAAGGCUACUGGUGUUCAGAGAUUGAAACAAUUACAAACAAUUAUCAUAUUCAGUAGAGCAAUAUAAUACAGUUCACAGGCACUACAUCUUCAUAUAUCAUGUCAUAUGCUGGUUUCUUCUAGAUUUUCAUAUAACUUGUUUGAUCUUUAAGCUGGGAUCUCGAAAAGAAAACAAUUUGUCAUAAAAGAAGGCAAAGUAGAUACCAAAGAUCUCCAUUUGAAAUAUACACACAUAUACAUGGAUAAUAUGUGUAUAUAUACUAUGUGGAUAUAUAUUUAAUCAGUGCAUAGUUGCCAUGCAGAUUAAACUGCUAGGCUUAUACUUUGUCAGAAAGCAGGAUAAUAAGUUCAAUUUGUCUCAUUUGAUCAUUUCACUCUCCUUCAGCGGCUUGGUUUACUACUUAGCACCAUGUAAUGGUUUUUCAAGAGGAUAAAUAAAUAUCUUUGCAAAGGAUUAGUGACACUAUUUAUUCAUUAGAGUGGAGAGCUAUGGAACAGCUUCCAUGUUAACUCCCUUCGCAUUAAAUUACUUUCUGUGAUCCCUUCAAUGAAAAUGUAACAUACUGUACCUCCCUAUUGUUUUGCAAUGAAUUUGGUUCUAUACACAGACAACAAUGUGAAGAAUGUUUACUUCAUUUUCUAAAUAUGAUCAACCCCUAAACUAAAUUAUAAAUCGGGUGGUUCGAGCCCUGAAUGCUGAUUGGCUGAAAGCCAUGGUAUAUGGUAUACCAUGGGUAUGACACAACAUACAUUUUUACUGCUCUAAUAGCAAUUAGACACCUCGGGGGUUGUGGUAUAUGGUCAAUAUACCACUGCUACGGGCUGUAUCCAGGCUCUCCGCUUUGCAUCGUGUAUAAGAACUGCCUUUCGCCGUGGUAUAUUGGCCGUAUACCACACCUCCUCGGGCCGUAUUGUUGAAUUUUUCCGUAUGUAUAAAACGGUAACUUUUCCAUCUGGGUUCAAUGCCAGGGAGAAAAGAGCUCAGUUGGUAUCAUGUGUCUCUGGACAGAAGUGUCUCAGGGUUCAUUGAAGCUCUUCCCAUGUCACCGUUAGCGAAUGCCAUUCUGCCUAUGUAUUACACCCAUUGGUAUAUUUCACAUAUUUAGGUGUCUAAAUGGAUUGAAAAGUAUUACGUGUUGUUUCUUUAGUCGCAGCAUGAAACAUUGUAUUAGGAUUCUUCAGCCCUAAACCGAUGACUCUACAAAUGGAAAAUCACUACAUCAACAAUGCCCACGAGAAUUUGUACAGACGAAAGACAAGAAAGGCCUUUGAUGUGCGUCCGCAAAGCCUGGCCGUUAUUCAACUCUGUUUCCUGAUCUACGGGCAGAAUUCCUCAGACGGUGGUCAAAAUAGAUGUCGUUUCACGGGGAUGAAACAGAGUGGCUGGGCUGUCUAAGGCAUUGCAUCGCAGUGCUAGAGGCGUCACUACAGACCCUGGUUCGAUCCCAGGCUGUAUCACAACCGGCCGUGGUCGGGAGUCCAAUAGGGCGGCACACAAUUGACCCAGCAUCGGCCGGUUUAGGGGAGGGUUUGGCCGGGGUAGGCCGUCAUUGUAAGGUAAGAAUUUGUUCUUAACUGACUUGCUUAGUUAAGAAAAAGGUUAAAUAAAAUAGCCUAACUGACAUGACUGGAUGGGAAAAGGAUGGUGUGAAAGCUCUUCUUGUAGGCCCGGACUGAACAGCUCGUCAAUAUGAACCGUUCGGUGUCCCCUCUAUUUCUCCAGGACUACCUAGUGCAUACUUCUCCAACGAGACUACACAGGGUUGUUACAGGAGAGCUUCAUCAAGAGACUAAGGGAUCAAUUCAAAGCCAGAUCCUUCAUUUUGGGGAAUGACUCUUUCUGUUGGGUCCUUUUGCUCUGUCAGAUGGCAGUGUAUUCUCCUAGGACUACUUAGUGGUCUUUACUAUUGGAGUCUGUGGGCUUCUAAAGGAGAUCUGAUACGGUUGUACGUACACAGGGCUACCACUCAGGUGUGGUAUCGCCAACCGUGUAUUGGCUCUCCACCCUCUGCUGUACGUUACGGUAUUCCCCAGUUAUUUGUUUCAGCAUUACAGCUCAACUCGGUUCCAGAGACACUCCAAAGGGUGUUUGGCAAAAUGUUGAGAACAAGAUAAGAUGUGGGUGAAGGGAAAGGCUUUUCUUAGCCAGGCCAUCUUGAGUGAGUUAAAUGUGUAUAUGUUGGUGGUGAAUGGUUAGGUUAUGGUUAGGAUAUGGUUACCUGAGGAGAUGGAAGAAAAGUAGUACAACUGAAAAUGUCAGUAGUGUUUGAGGCCCCUGUGGGUUAAAUUGUCAACUCUAAUUUCUUGAGAUGAUAUUCCAAAAAUGUCUCUAUUAGCACAAAAUGUGAAUUAAAGCUUGCCAAUUCAGUUAAACAUCAGAAUCUUUGAGGUUCCCAGUUUGAGGGAGCAGAGGGUGACUGCAGAUAAGUUGUGUACAGGUUAUUCCACACACCUUCCCAUGCAGCUCCUGUUACAAAGUUUCAGGAAACUUGUACAAUAUUAUUUUUUUAACUCACCCCAAUCUAGGCCAGCGGUGUGUGUUUGUUGGCGGUAACCGUGUUUUGCAAAUGCAAUGAAGAACAGCAAGAGAGUGUGUCAAUGGAAAGUGGUGUGAGAGGACCCACGGUUUAUGAGGACUAUUUGGUGAUGAAGUGGGGUGGCAGGUAGCCUAGUGGUUAGAGCGUUGGGCCAGUAACCGAAAGGUUGCUAGAUCGAAUCCCCGAACUAAACAUAUGUUGUUCUGCCCCUGAACAAGACAGUUAACCCACUGUUCCCCGGGAGGCCUUCAUUGUAAAUACGAGUUUGUUUUUAGCCGAGUUAAAUAAAGGUCAAAUAAAUCAAUAAAAGGGUUGAGAGAGGGAAGGAAAUAUGUGAAAAAGGAAAAGAAUCAUGUUGCAUAUCAAGCUGUUUAUUUUCCUGCAUGGAAUGGUGAACAGAAAAAAAGAUGCCUAGAUGCAUUUAUAAUAGGGGCAUCCUUUGCCUGUCUAUGUCAUUGUCUUCUGCCUAAACUAAAAAAAAAAGUAUGCAUAAAAAAACACUAUAUUUUCUUACCAAUUUCCUUAAAAUUACCUAAAUUUACCUUCAUCAACACUGAUGCAACAAAUAACCUUCAAAACAUACAGUAUACUGUAACAUCCAUUUACAAUGGGCUUUUCACCUCAAUUCUCUAUACUUCUUAAGUAUAGGAAUACGCUAUACCAUCAAAAGAAGAAAAAGUCCUUAAAUACAUUUUUUAAACAAAAAAAGGAAAACGGGAAAGUUUUCAACUUAAAUCCAGUUCCCAGAGAACAAACAAACCCCAUUCUAUGACUGUGGCCUUAAUACAAACAAACCCCAUUCUAUGACUGUGGCCUUAAUACAAACAAACCCCAUUCUAUUACUGUGGCCUUAAUACAAACAAACCCCAUUCUAUGACUGUGGCCUUAAUACAAACAAACCCCAUUCUAUGACUGUGGCCUUAAUACAAACAAACCCCAUUCUAUGACUGUGGCCUUAAUACAAACAAACCCCAUUCUAUGACUGUGGCCUUAAUACAAACAAACCCCAUUCUAUGACUGUGGCCUUAAUACAAACAAACCCCAUUCUAUGACUGUGGCCUUAAUACAAACAAUCAGAAAAUUCACAACACUAGUUUUUCUCCUCAUUUAAUCAAUGUUACAAAAGUCCUGCAUUAUAAAAUAGGGCAGCUUUAAAAUCAGUGUAAUUAAUAAAACUAUACAACAUACAAACACCACGUCUCCCACAGUCAGGGCAUUCAGCCCUGCCUGCUCCAUCGCUUCCUUGUCAUUUUUUAGGUGUUCCUUUGUCAUCAUCAACUCUUUUCCCCACUUCUAUACCCAGAACUAAAUUACACACAACACAAGAACAAAAACAGACUGCCCAAACUAUUGCUUAGUUUUUCUGUCUUUAAAAAGGGUGUCAUUUUGUCGUAUCUUACACACACACAGCCAAAUCUUGCUGAUUAGAUGCUAGGCUGUUCACAAUGAGUUUUUGUGACAAAAAAUGUCCGUGCAAUUGUUUUUUCCCUUCGCUUUUAAGCCGUGGAAGCCGUUUCUUUUCAAUAAUUCUCACUAUUGUCAUUUGUUUCACAUUUAGUGCAGAUAAUUAGGAAAGUAAUGCCCAACUCAUCGCUAAAGGGUAGGCAAGAACAAAGACAAAAACUGUCAUACUAAAGGACAAACACAAACCCACGAAGUCUUACUACUAAACCAUCACCAAGGCUUCCCCCAAAAAACACAUCAUUGACUUGUUUAACUCAUAAAUGUUAAAGACAGAUCAACAGGUGUUGAACAGAUCAACAGGUAAACAAUGAAUAUAUGUCAGGAAGUCUGUUGAAAUGGAGGAAAUAGAAAGUGGCAUUUUUAUUUGUUGGACGUCAUAUUUUUUUGUCUGUCAAAUGUGGAUUUUGUGAUGGAGAGGAAGUUUGACUUGUUUAAGACUUGCUUGUGAACCCCCAACGCCCCCAAAAAAGGAGAACCUAAUAUAUUCUGCGGUCGGCUUGUUAGUGUUGAAAACAAAGAAAGUAGAAUACCCGAGCGAGGCUGCCUGGGCUUUGCGAGCCCUUUGUUCUCCAGGAGUGGGUCUGCCUAAGGGACCGACCACCAACCAUGUAGCCAGUCAAGUGCAACCUAACUGUGGUUAAAAAAAAUAAAAAAAUAAACAGCACAAACAAAUGACUAAGUGACUGUCUACAUGAGUGCAAGCAGCUAUUGCAUAUUCUUUUUCAUUAUUCAUUUCUGAAUAAAAAAUAUAUUAAAAAAAGGAAAACUCCAAAGCCAAAAGAAGUUUCCAUUUAGAAAUGUCAGCAACAUCCAUAAAUAUCUAUAGAUUGGUAUUCUCAACACAAAGAAGGGUUAAGGGUCAAUGACUGGGGGGUUAACUAAACUAUCUUCAAGAUAUAAAGAGGGCUAUUUCUACUUACGGAAUGAGUAAAAAGGGGGCCAUGUCGGGGUGAUUGACGCUGGCCUAGUUAAACAGCAGUAUAAGACAGAUAUAGUGUUUCAGGUCUGCUACACACACAGCACCUCCAUGUUGCAUCAUAGUGUGCUGUCGUACAGGCCUGAGAUGUCUUCCAUUUCAUCAUUCAUGUUUCUUAUCAGUAUAACAACGCUGAUUCAGUUUCUACACAAUGGGAGGUGGGGGAUGAAAACAAAUAAGAAACAAGGCACAUUUAUGAGGAACAAUUGUUUCGUGCAAUUAGAGAACAUACGAACGAAAUAUAUACUUUAAGGUUAGAGUUUUUUGUUGUUGAUCAUUUCAAGAGGGAACGAAAGAGGAAAAACGAUUCGGAAAUGAUGAGAAGCGAAGAAGAGUCUGAAAGACGUUCAAGCUGGUUGAUUGUGAAGGCCAGCAGUAAAAAAAAGCCUCUCGAAGGGCCAAACAGACAGAGUCUAUUGGCAAGUGCCUGAUGUUGGGAAUAGGAUAUUGUGUCUUUAUUCACUAACUCUAAUCUAUGUAAAGGUUUGUCACUAACACUACAACAUGCAGAUAAAAAAACAUUUGUAAUACUUUUAUUCAGUUUUGAUCGAGGGUGGAUGAGUCAGUCUUAACAAUGUAUAUAUAUAUAUAUAGUAUAGGAAAGAAAAACAAAAGUUCAAUAAAAUGGUAAGUUGCAUGCGAAGCAACUGAAAAGCUUCGCCGUCUCGUUGCAAUCUUGCCUUGAUGUAGAUAUCAAUGUGUUUUCAACACAAAUGGUCACUCUUUCUCACUCAACUACAAUCCUCUGAUUAGACUCCCAGCCCAUAAACCAACUGCAGGAACAAGUGCUUCUGAUUGGACAAGGCUUAGAGAAGGCCUAGCCAAUCAAACAGGCAAACCAGAACUUGGAUGCCCGGUAUUAGAUGAUCUUUUCAAGCGAAAGUGGAGAUUUAUGUUUUCGAUAUUUGUUCGCAUUGUAUGUUCUUGAUUUUGCCUCAUGAGAAAUUUGAACUACUACUUAUUUCUUUUAAAAUCAAGUGCUUUCUUAAAAUAAGUUAAUCACUUUGCUUUUUUAAAAUUAAUAGCAGACUAGAUUCAAAGCUGCAAGAAAUGCUUUAAAAUGGAUUGUUUAAAAUGACAAUAUUUCUAAAAGGGAUUUACAUUUUUUACAUUCUACGAUACUAGCAAAUUUACAAGAUGAACAAACAAACAAAUAAAAGACAACAAAAGCUCAAUACAUCUGUUAUUUUCUCACCAGACCAUCGUGCUAGUUGACUUUUUUUUGUACCCCGAUAUUUUAGAGGUGUGUAUGGACUAGGAAGAAAAAUAUAUGAUUUUCAACUAUUUUAACGACAUAUCCUACAAAGAUAUUUAAUUAUCCAACCACUAUCCAACGAAAUUGCACUGUCCUCAAUUCAAUAUUCCACUGUUGACGAUAGAUAGAUGUCUCCAGUCAGUUUGUAGGAUUAAAGACCUUCGCCCUUUUGCAUUGUAUAGCAUUGUAAAACCGUUAGUUUGAACUGAAAUGACCUCUAUACAAAAAUGUAACAUGAACAAGCCUCCCAGUCAGAGGUUUUCUCACAAGCUUCUCAUUGAAAUACUUCUCUUCUUGUUGCAGGCUUUAAACCAGUUUCAAUAUGUCACCUGAUUGACCGAUAUUAAACAUGAAUACCCCAUCCCCUCUCUGGUCCCUUGUGAGUUCAUAGUGUUGGUUGUUCUCCUCUGCAUGGUCUUUCAGCUGCACUGAUGUCCCUGGAAAAGCCCCGUGGUGGGGUGAAGACCUUCAGACUCUUGGCUGUGGGGGAGUGUCCCUCCUCAGGGUGGGUGCUGGGUAGGUCUGGUUUGGGGUAGGGUGGGGAGACUGAGAGCUAUUAACUGGUUGGUAUCUGACCCAGCUAAAACCUCUACCUCCGUGAGCCACUGAACCGAAAACAGAGUCCGGUAACAACCAUAGAACAAAAGAAACAAGAGCUCUGAUCUUCCUCUCGUUUCGGGACAUGUGACGCCAGCAGAGCUUUAUACACACAUGUACACGGGACUCUUAGGUCUCUGUGCCGGACCUUCUCCACAGGUCGGCUACGGCAACAAAGGGUUGAGGGAAGCUCUUUUAUUUAGUCAGGUGAUGUCUCCCCCCUCUGCGGCAAAGUGGGGACGAUGAGAAGAAAUAGAAAAAUAAACAAACACAACGUGUACCAGGAGCUACUCUCGAGAGCUACUCUCUUGGAGCUCCAGCUAGCACAUCCAAUAGACAGCUGGGGGGACUGGUACUAUAUAUGAAUAUAGACAUAUGAACCAUAUGAAUGAGGGUAUAUAUGGGCUGUAUAGAUAUAUAGUAUGUACGUGUGUAAGCAGUCAGUAGCUCUGCUCUUGUUUUUGGGGGAUGGGAGAGGGCGGGGUGGUCUGUUGUAGCCAUGCAGUGACAGAUUUGAGGGGUUGGGCUUCUCUCUGUCAAACAGGUGAGCACGUUUGCAGGGGUUCAUGGUUAGGUCGCACUCAGGGGAGAAAGUAGGGGGUCCAGCGAUCUGUCCAGUGGGCUGUCCAGCGGGCUGCUAGGGGGUCUGGAGUCCCUAGCCCAGGUACCACUGCAGAACAGAGAGAGGGAUGAAGGGAGACAGAAGACAGUUGAGAUCAAUUUAAUUUAAGCAGACAAUAGAUCAGUUCCUUUGCCUCAAGUCGGUGCUCUACCUUUCCAUUUCCUUUCCAUCUCUGUCUCACCUCUCUACUGAGUACCUAGCUGCUAGGCAAGGGUGUUCCUAUACACUCUAUCCAGCCGGUCACUGUGUACCUUCUGAACAACUUCUGCCAUGCUUUACUGUGUUUAAGCUCUGAACAAAGUGAGGGGUAGAGAGAGGAAAAAAAGAGAAAGACAGAAAGACAGACAGACAGACCGACUGACAGACAGAGAGGCAGACAGACAGAGAGAGAGGCAGACAGACAGAGAGGCAGACAGACAGACAGACAGACUGACAGAGAGAGAGGCAGACAGACAGAGAGGCAGACAGACAGAGAGGCAGACAGACAGACUGACUGACUGAGAGACAGAGAGAGAGAGAGAGACAGACAGACAGACAGACAGACAGACAGACAGACAGACAGACAGA
ensembl:lncRNA